GAUGAAGAACGCAGCGAAAUGCGAUAAGUAAUGUGAAUUGCAGAAUUCAGUGAAUCAUCGAAUCUUUGAACGCACCUUGCGCCCUUUGGCCAUUCCGAAUGGCAUGCCUGUUUGAGUAUCAUGAACACCUCAACUCUUCAUGGUUUUCCAUGAUGAGCUUGGACUUUGGGGGUCUUGCUGGCCUGUGGGUCGGCUCCUCUCAAAUGAAUCAGCUUGCCGGUUUUUGGUGGGCAUCACAGGUGUGAUAACUAUCUACGCUUGUGGUUUUCCACCAGGGUAACCUUCAGCAGUGGAGGUUCACUGGAGCUUACAAAUGUCUCUCCUCUGUGAGGACAGCCCUUUGAAUGUUUGAUCUCAAAUCAGGUAGGACUACCCGCUGAACUUAAGCAUAUCAAUAAGCGGAGGA
rnacentral:misc_RNA from 1 species